rnacentral:rRNA from 1 species
CUGAACCAGCCAAGUAGCGUGAAGGAUGACUGCCCUAUGGGUUGUAAACUUCUUUUAUAAAGGAAUAAAGUCGGGUAUGUAUACCCGUUUGCAUGUACUUUAUGAAUAAGGAUCGGCUAACUCCGUGCCAGCAGCCGCGGUAAUACGGAGGAUGCGAGCGUUAUCCGGAUUUAUUGGGUUUAAAGGGAGCGCAGACGGGUCGUUAAGUCAGUUGUGAAAGUUUGCGG